CAAAGACGGCUGUUCUCCAGCAGCAGCAGCCAUCUCCUUUGUUUCCAAGUAGCAGGAAAUUCACGUGGAACCGUCGCAACUCUGCCGUCAAUAUGUUAAGCCCGCCCACCGACUCUAUACACAAUGUGAUUGGCCUGACCACAAUUUGUUUUUUCCAACUUGCAAGCCAACGGAGAGUUGCCAGACUGACCCUG